CAGUCGUACUGGCGGGCAAUCAGCCUUUUGGGUGUGAUUAUGUGGGGCGUGAGGAGUUAAUCGCCUUCAUGCCUGCGUAUUCGUGCACUUUGGGUGUACUUGCUCGUGUGGUAGGUUAACAUCAAUUUCGGUCGUCAUAAAAUGAUCGGAGGAAUGUAGCUUCGAUCUCGUAUUGAAGUGUUAUAGCCUUCGGUAGAUGUGAUGAUUGGGAUUGAGGAUUGCAACGGAUACCCUUCGGGGCUACCUGUCUGAUCUCUGAAAGUUGCUCUGGUGCCGAAAGCUCGCUUACGGUAUUAAAGUUGACGUUCAACAGGUUAGAACGGGAUAAA
rnacentral:rRNA from 1 species